rnacentral:lncRNA from 1 species
CUUUAACUCUUUUAAUAAUUUGUCAACUAAAAAUAAGUAACACGAAUUGUUUCAAAGAAACGACAAUCCUUGUGGAUACAAUACUCUACUUUAUCACUUUAUUUUUUGAUAAACGAUUUGGUACACUUGUCUAAUCCGCACAUCAUUAACAUAAACAUAAAUCAAAUUGCAUAUGAUAUUAUCAAAGUACGAACAUUAUGACAUACAAAUAAAUUAUAUGUAACAUAAUUAUUUUACAUAUUGAUAGUUACCUUCUCAAGCACCUACAAACUAAAUUAACGCAUCGAGGUUUUUCUCUUUGAAGCCUACACCCAACUUGUAGUCUAUUUUCUAUACAAUCAAAGUCAUCUUUGCAAUGAAUACGUACUGCAAUGUCAAAUAACAAUAAAGUAUUUUUAUUAAAAGAGUAUGAAAUAUUAUGUGUAAUAUAAAUAAGAAAAUGAGAAAAUAAUGUCAAAAAUUACUUACUGCAGUCAUUUACCGCGACAUAUAUAGAAAGAAAGAUUAUCAAAGCAUAGACAAACUUGAAAAUGUGAGUCAUUUUUCCU